UCUAUGUUAAAAGGCAUUGAAUGUUUGCCUAUAUGUGUAAUGUGAUCCGCCCUGAGUCCCCUUCGGGGUGAGAAGGGCGGAAUAUAAAUGCUGUAAAUAAAUAAUAAAUAAAUAAAUAAUGUAUUUCAGAAGCUUGGUGUGGAGGAACAGCCUUGAUGUAAGGCAGAAUGCAUUGUGAAUGGAAGCUACACAAUAGCAGCUGAAGGUUAGCAAAAACAAGCCAAAAAUAUUGAUUGGUACUACAUACGUCAUUGAAAGCUCAUUAUAAUUCUGCUGUUAGGGGUUGGGGCUGCAUUUUCAUUACACUUUGUUUCCAGCAAAGGUUAACACUUCUCUGGAUUUUACAAAGUGUUGAACUACUGAACAGAUCCAGCCAUUGUCUCCAUGAAUACUGAACUGCAUAUUAAAUCCAAGAUCUAAAGCUUUGCAUCAAAAGGCAGUAGCAUAACAAAAUAUUGCAAACUAGGGCACAGGAGUCUCUAGAGUUCAACAGGAUUGUUUGAUUUAACAGCAAUGUGAACCUGAUUCUUUGAACAAUUUUUAUUAAAAAAAGAAUGAAUGGA